rnacentral:lncRNA from 1 species
AUGUACAAAUGCAUCAAUAGUUUAAAAAAAAAACUAAUCACAUUUCCUUUUUUCAGUUAGUAAGUACCAAGUUCAAGUAUCAGUAAGAGAGGUAUAUAUAUUAUUUUAACUGCAAUGCAACACUAGUAGCUGUAUUUCCGGUAAGGUAAACUUUUUUGCCAGAUUUGAUAUAAUAUUUAACCAUCGGACGUAAGUCACGAACAAAGUAGACAAAAAAAGACAAAGAGUAACACUUGUCUUGUCAAGCAUAUAUAAGAGCCCAAACUAUGAUGGC